ACUCCUACGGGAGGCAGCAGUGGGGAAUAUUGCACAAUGGGCGAAAGCCUGAUGCAGCCAUGCCGCGUGUGUGAAGAAGGCCUUCGGGUUGUAAAGCACUUUCAGCGAGGAGGAAAGGUCAGUAGCUAAUAAUUGCUGGCUGUGACGUUACUCGCAGAAGAAGCACCGGCUAAUUUAGUG
rnacentral:rRNA from 1 species